AUAUACUGACACACAAGGGAGUAUUCUCUAAACCUGGAUAUCAGAGAAAUUGACAAGUGAAUUGUACAUUGUAGGCCAAACUAGCGGGAUUUGGAAAAACAUAUCAAAACGCCACUAUGUUGCCAUUUUAGCUACAAUCUUAAAUCCCAAGGUCAAUUCUCCGCAAUUCUAAUUGUCAGGGUUAUUCUCUAAAGUGAGAAUUCAAAGUGAAUUUCAAUUUUAAGAUCAGAGUAGUCGAACUGAAAGCAUAGUGGAUUUACAGCAUUUUUAUCUAGAUCGUCUACUUUAACCUUAAAUUUGCAAUUCACUUUAAAUUCUCACUCUAGUGAAUAAC